ACAGCACCUGAAAAUAAUGGACACAUUAAUAUCCAGGAGAAAAAAACCUAGACAGAAGAUUUAAGUUGUGAGAUAAAGUCUGGGGAGAUUUGAUUUUAUAAGCCAGGGAGAAUUUCUUGCUAAUUCCGUGAUUUUUAGUGAAAAAGCAGGAAUUAUUCACAUGUACAGCUCAGGAGCUGUUUAUUGUUUAAUAGCACUGAGGGUGAUGUGACUUCACAGUUCUGUCUACAAACAGCUCAUAAAAUACUCCCUGUAGUAAUUAAACAAACAGAGGCAAACGUGGCAGGAAAUGGAGAAGCUGCUCAUGGAAAAUUUUGAAUUUUUGAGGAUUUUUGGUGGUCGCUGGAGCACAAAAAACGGUCCCAAGGUGGGUGGUGGCAACAAACCUGGUUGGGAGGAAGGAGGAGACAGGGUGGGUUUGGGAGCUGGAGCUGGGGGGAGGCUAAAAGCCAGGCUGGGGAGGGUUUAGAGGUGCUGGGAACUCCCUGGGCUGGGAAUGACCAACCUGUUCCACCAGUUCCUGCUCGGAGCCCUUUGUUGCUGCCCCAGUGCUGGGAGAGGAUCCUGUCCUCUCAGCUGCUCUGUCCCUGAGCCUCUUUUGGGGUGCAGGAGCUUUGGGUCCUGUCCCUUGAAGAACAGCUUAACUGCCUGAUUUUCCCCCCCUGUGAAGCUGCUUUUGGGCCCAGCCCAGCCCAUUUCAAAGAUUGAAUUACUGUGGGUUUUCUUUUGGCUCCUCAGUCUUUGCUUUUCGGUUUUUUCACCUACAGCUGCAGGGCUGGCUGUGAAGUCACACUGAGCAAAGUGCUUUUAGACACGAUGAUGUUUUCCUGGAAGUGGCAGUUUUUAAAUGGGGAUUAAGAAUUCCCAGAAAACUACUUGAAGAAAUAAUUCUCAAAGCACAAACCAUCCACAGAGCUGCUGCCCAUCCAUUCUGGUUAAAUGUUCAGAAAGAAUCUAAUUUCUGUUUGAUUCAGCCUGCCCUGUUCACGUUUGGUGAGCUUCACAACAGGCACCUAAAACAUUCAUAAAACUUCAUAAUUCAUAAAAAAUAUCAUGUUUUAUUGCACGUGGCCUUCACCUCCAAAGCAUCUGAAUUCAGUGGCCACAUCCCUUUGAGAGGAAUCCCACCUUUUUACCUGUGGUAAAUCAGGAUCCCAGGAUGGUUUGGGUUGGAAGGAACCUUAAAGAUCAUCUUGUUCCAACCUUUCCACAGGCAGGGACACCUUCUACAAUCCCAGCUUGCUCCAAGCCCUGUCCAGCCUGGCCUUGGACACUUCCAGGGAUGGAAUAAUUAGUCAAUAAAGUAAUUUGAAGUUUACAUGCAGUGAAAUGCAUCUAAAAAUUUUGCCACUUCCACGGAUUUUUACCCACGAGCGAGACCCUGCAAGGUGUCAUUCAGCCAACUCUGGAAACCCACCCAAAAAUAUCCAUGAAGGGUCCUUGUCCCGAUGUUUUUUGUGGGACACAUUUGCCAGCCCUGCAGCCCCGUGGGAAUGAUGCCCAUCUGAGAGAACAGCAGGUUUUUGGUCACAGGCACUGGAACUGUUGCCUGGACAAACCAGUUUCCUGCUGUUUAUUGUGCCAUAAAUCUUUGUUCACAAGUUGCUCCCAGUCAGUGCUGGGGAAGGAGCCUGACGUUCCUUCCCCCAAACAGCACAAAUGGGAUCACAGUCCCUGGUGGGAAGUUUGUUUGAGGAUUGUCAGGGGUUUUUUUGGUCAAAAAUCGUUUACAGUCCAGGUUUAGGUUAUUUCUUCAGAGCACAAGUCAAGGAGUGAUGAAGGGCUGCACCAGGAAUCUUUUCCUGGGGUGGGAAGUCAGUGCCUAGUUCGAGCUCCCAGGUUUCUCUGAGCCAGGCUCCAGCUUUGGGGUAGCCCGAGCUCCCAGUUUCCCUAAGCCAGGGUCUAGUUCUGGGCAGUCCCAGCUCCCAGCUUUCCCUAAACUGGGGUCCAGGUUUCCCUAAGACAAGGAUCUAGUUGUGGGCAGUCCCAGCUCCCAGGUUUCCCUGGGCCGGGGUGCAGGGCUGGUUAAGGCCGAGCCCAGGGCAGGUCCUGGCAGUGCUGCAGCCCUGGGAAGGGGCUGGUUUGAAUCCUGGGAGAGGUUUUAUCGGCACAGGAAAUGACAGCUCAUUAAACCCGACCGUUGGGCUGCUCAGCCCGGGCUGCAGGCACAGGAACCUCCGAGGGCUCCGAGGAGCUGGAGAGGUGCUCUGCUCCCACGGGAAUGCAAAUGAACCCGCUCUGCUGAUUGUCCAGGGGCACCAAAAUACUUCCACUGGAAGCUGGUUUCAGUGGUUUAUGAAAUGUCUGACUUUCAGAGAAGUUGGUGCCACUUAAAUACCAAAAUUUGGUGCCUCUUCCUAAUGUUUUACUGCUUUGGAGCUGCAGGAUGGGUUUUUCUGUGCUCUCCCAGGGGAGUGGAGAAAUAGGAAUUAAUAAAUGGGAUGGUUUAAUGAUGUUUUGCAUAAUUGUUAAGAGGUGAGAGCCUUUGCCCCUCUGGCCUGGCUGUCAAUAGUGGGAUUUUAAAGACUGGAGGUGCAGAGAGGGAAAAGUCCAGCCCAGAACGUCCCUCCUGCCUCUGGCACAUCCUUCAGUGCCACUUUUUUGUAGCAGGGAUAAUCCUUGUUUGCUGCAGGAGGGCAGGGUCCCAAACCCUCCAGGGUAUAAUUUCCAGGAGAAAAUAAACUUCCAUGCUCAAACAAGACUUCCACAAUUUUAAACCCCCGUGUUUGGAUCUCAGUUGUUCCCAGGAGCUGCUGAGCUCGGGCUGUCAGGCUCAGAGAUGCACUGAAACUCUUAUUUACAUUUUUAAUUUCCCCCAGAAUAACUGGAGUUUCAGAACAGCUCAGAGUUAAUCAGCUGCUUCAUCAGCACUUGCUGCUCGAGCCUCUUGUCAAUGAGAAGCUCUAAUUAGCAGUGAAAGCCCCAUUAAUGCUCCCAAAAUGGGACCUCACAGUGGCUGCUUCUUUUUUUUUUUAAAUACUUGGGAAUUCUGACAUUUCUCUCUGGAAAAGUGGGCAAAAACCCACAAGUGUUUUUGUAAGAUGGGAACUUUCUAUCCUAAGUGGGGCUCUGGGAGAUUUUUAGGGAGUUGUUGAGUGAGCCCUGCCCUUGAGCUUUAGCACAGCUUGGGAUUAAUUCCCUGAGUGUUCCCAACCUCUCCAAGCACAGGGUAAGAGAUUUCAGGAACUCAGAGCAACCUCUACUCCUAAAGAUCUUGUCAGCUGAAAACGAUGCCUUUCAAAAGUGCAAAUAUCAUGAUUAAAUGGUAUUAAAUAAGUAUUUUUAGUAUCAGUAAAAAUGCAUUGACUGGAAUAUCAAAUAAAUUCCUGCUUUUUCUUAAGCGCAGGGGAAAACACAAUUUUUCUCCUCUGGGUUUGGUGCCUUGGAGAAAACUCCUCCCUGGGGUUCCAAAGGUUCUGUUCAAAGGAUUUAACCUUUCCUCCCACUUACAGUGACAGUCACUCUUGGAAAAGCAAAUUUAUAAAUUGUCCAGUGGAUUUUAAACACGGUUUUGCUGGAAGGAGAAUGGAAGUUUUAGGGAGUCAGAGCCUGCAGGUCUUUGGUGUAAUUUUAAAACUAAUCCUGAAGCAGCUUUGCUGAAUCUCUGUAAUGUGGUGCUUUGAAUAGAUGGGAAGUUUUGGUUUAAUUAUUGCAAAAACCAGCUUUAGAAUUUUUAAUGUGGAUAGAAAUUGUAGCUUUGAGUUAAAGACAAUAAAUCCUCAUCUGUUUGACUACAAAUCCCAGGUGAGACAGUUCUGAGAACGGGCUCCAAGGGUGGUUUCUCAGUGAAUCAGAAUUCUGAAUGAUGUUUAUAUUUUAGUGUUGGAAUUCAAGUCGUGUUUUUGACUGAAAUGUUUUAAUUUUCAUUAAUUUAGGCUGCACCAAAGGCUGGUGCAAUUGUUUGGAGGUUUGUUCUCAGUUACAGCUCCUUGUGGAACAUUCAAUUUUAGCAGAGAAUCAGAAGGAAUUAAACCAAAAAUUGAAUGUUAAGAGUUCCUAAAACUUCUUCUCUGUUACACUUAGGUGUAAUUAAAUUAAAUAAAACUGAGUUUUAAGACUUUUAGAUCUAAGUUAUGUCCACACUUGGAUAUCAGGUGACAUAUCUGGGGAGAUUAAAUGGUUUAAUUUUGCCAAAAGAGCACAAGUAACCAACACUGUCCUGCUGAAAUGGGAUGUCAAGGAUUUCAUUCCCAGCACUGCAGAUUCAGGAUUUUCUAAAUGUUCCUCUGCUUCGUUUUGCUCCUUAUUUAAAUUUAGGCACAUUUUUUUUUUUCAGUAUUAAAGACUCUAGAAAAAUUGCAGAAUUUUAGAAGCCCAGGUCCUCACAUUGAGAAUCUUGCAGUUCUUUAAAACAGCUGUAACGAAGUUAAUUUUGUGCAUUUUUAAUUUAAUUAAUUUAAGUCAUAGCCGUGCUCAGAAAAGGGGAAAAAAAAUAAUUCUUUAGUGAAAAAAAAUUUGAAAUUCAGUGUCCAUGCAGCAGGAGCUGUUGAAGCCUCUGAACUUGGGUUUCAUGGCUUUGUUCUGUGUUUAAAGCUAAUUUAGCCCCGACUUUGUUGGGUUUUCAGGCAGAGCCCGAGUCAUUUGAACACCUUCCUGUUAAUCAUUCACCCCUCCCAUUUAAAUAUUCCUCAUUUCAGAACCAGGCACAACUUAAAAGUGAACCUUUACCUUGCUGGAGCUCUUGGAGGAAGGCAAAGAAACCUCAGAAGUUCCAAGGGUGACUCGGCCCCGGCCCCGACUCACCGGGAGAGGUUUUUCCCGGGAGAGGUUUUUCCCGGGAAGGGUCGGGGCUGAAUCCUGGAAAUCCUUUGGAUUUGUGGAAAACGUGUCAGGGACGGGCUGGAGUCUCUGGGGUUGUUUUUUCCCCCCCCCUGAAAUUUCAGCAGCCCCGGGCACAGAAUUUCCUCCCCCCGUUUGUCUCAUCCCGGGGGUGAAUCAUGAGGGAAGUGGCCUUUUUCUGGGAAAUCUGCUCCAAAAAGGCGUUUGCCCCCGGCCAUGGAGGAAAUCCAUUGAGAGCAGCAGAAUGAGGCACUUUGUUUCUUCACUCGGGGCCUUUUCUGAAAUUCCUAAAAUUAGAAAGUGUUCUUUUUGAAUUGGGCUCUGGCCUGGAAAAGGGAAUAUCGUGUCAAAUGAGGAGGAGAAUAAUUGGAGGGACGCAGGGAGAUGGUCACUUGUAAAACCUGUUGUUGGAUGUGUCCUGGGGUGUGGAGUUGUUUUACUGAACCCUCCCUGUGGUGUGAAGAGUUAAAAGUGAAGCGUUGAAAAUUAGGUGAGUUUUCAGUGGAGAUCACACUGAUCUCUUUAAAUUUAAAAAAUUUAAACCCGGUUAAAUAUAAAAAAGAAAAUAAAUUAAAAUCUCUGUUCUCUUUGAAA